GAGGAUCGAGAGGAUGCAGCGUUUAGCGUGGCACCGAACGACGCUCGAGUUUUGCUCGUGACGAACCUGCGGCUUAGCACGUGGCCAGCAGCCACACGGGCGAUAGAUCGCUGCAGUGUAGUGCAGCAGCAGCAGAUCAACGUGCACAGCCCCUUUUUUACUAGUAUUUCCGACGUGAACGAGGAAUUUUUUGUUUCGUGACAGCCUGACGAAUGAAUUUCUGAUACGAUUUGUCAUCACGUAGAAAAUCCUGUGACGCUUGAGUCACAUCUUGGUAAUGAAGAAGAACUGAAGAAGGAAAUAGGGAAGCACAUGUGGCGCAAUUAAAAGUCAUCAUGGAGAAUCUCACACAGCGAAAUCGUACAAUUAACGAAAGUCGGC